CCUACGGGGGGCAGCAGUGAGGAAUAUUGGUCAAUGGACGAGAGUCUGAACCAGCCAAGUAGCGUGAAGGAUGACUGCCCUAUGGGUUGUAAACUUCUUUUAUAUGGGAAUAAAAUGUUCCACGUGUGGGAUUUUGUAUGUACCAUAUGAAUAAGGAAAGGCUAAAUCCGUGCCAGCAGCCGCGGUAAUACGGAGGAUCCGAGCGUUAUCCGGAUUUAUUGGGUGUAAAGGGAGCGUAGGUGGUUUGUUAAGUUAGUUGUGAAAGUUUGCGGCUCAACCGGAAAAUUGCAGUUGACACUGGCAGUCUUGAGUACAGUAGGGAGGGGCGGAAUUCGUGGUGUAGCGGUGAAAUGCUUAGAUAUCACGAAGAACUCCGAUUGCGAAGGCAGUUCACUGGACUGCAACUGACGCUGAGGCUCGAAAGUGUGGGUAUCAAACAGGAUUAGAUACCCGAGUAGUC
rnacentral:rRNA from 1 species